GUUUAAUCAUAUUAGUGAAGAUUAUAAAGGAGCUUUAAAAUUGCAAGGCUAGCGUGUAGUGCUAGAAUUGUUCAGAGAGCGUUCAUAAGAAAUCCAUUAUCACAGAAAACUAAAACAAAGAAAGAAUUCACUUACAGGCAAAAGAUGCCAGUGAUCAAUAUUGAGGACCUGACGGAAAAGGACAAAUUGAAGAUGGAAGUCGACCAGCUCAAGAAAGAAGUAACACUGGAAAGAAUGCUGGUCUCCAAAUGUUGUGAAGAAGUAAGGGAUUAUGUUGAAGAAAGAUCUGGCGAAGAUCCACUAGUAAAGGGUAUCCCAGAGGACAAAAAUCCCUUCAAGGAGCUCAAAGGAGGCUGUGUGAUUUCAUAAGAAAAAAAAAAAAUCCUUGGAAUAUCUUGAGCUUUAAUGACAGUACUAGUUUUUGGUUAUAUAUAAGAAUUCUAUUAAGCAUAGAGAGACAGAGCACAAGCAGGGGAAGGGCAGAGAGAAAGGGAGACAUAGAAUCUGAAGCAGGCUCUAGGCUCUGAGCUGUCGGCACAGAGCCCAACGCAAGGCUUGAACUCACGGACACUGAGAUCAUGACCUGAGCCAAAAUCAGACACGCAACUGAAUGAGCCACCCAAGCACCCCUGUCAUCCAUUUUAAAAACAAGAAGUUGUUAUUUCAGGACCAUGGAUUACUAGGUAAAAAGGAAUGAGGUAAGAUUACAGGGAAACAAAAGAGACUCCUGGCAUAGCCUUAGCAUUUGGCUCUUCAACAAAACUUCCUGGGACCAGUAGUGAGAAUGAGUUAAGUAUACAUACUGCAGUAUAUACCAUUUGAGAUACUUGCACUUUGAGGGUAUUUUGUACACAUAAGUGAGUUUAAGCUUUAGCAAGAAAAAAAAAAACAGUUAUUCUAAUUUGGACUGAUUCGAUUAGAGCCAGAUUUGAAAACAAGGCUAAUAUCAAACUUCCUAAAUUCUUAAAACAAUAUUAACAUGAGGAAAACAGUAAAAUGAGUAAUAAGAAUGACCAGUUAAAUGGAAAUUAAAGUCUUGUAUAAGCACAAUUGAUAAAUCAUAUUUGAUAUGAAUUAUAAGUAGUUGUUAAGAUAGUUGGAGCAUUAGGGGCACCUGGGUGGCUCAGUCGAUUAAGCAUCUGACUCUUUUUUUUUUUUUUAAUUUUUAUUUUUGAGAGAGAGAGCACGAACAGGGCAGGGGUAAAGAAGGAGGGAGAGAAUCCCAAGCAGGCUGUGAACUAUCCGCGCAGAGCCCAAGGUGGGGCUUGAUCUCACAAACCAUGAGAUCAUGACCUGAACUGAAAUUAAGAGUCUGAAGCUCAAUGGACUGAGCCACCAAGGCACCCCUAGAUUUUGACUCAGGUUGUGAUCUCAGAUGAUGAGAUCGAGGCCCAUGACUGGCCCCAAGCUAGGUAUGAAGCCUGCUUAAGAUUCUCUGUCCCUUUGUCCCUCCCCAGUGCACUCAAGUGUGCUCAUUCUCUGUCUCUCAGAAAAAUAAAAAGGAUAAUUGGAGCAUGAGACACAGGUCAUCCUCUUACUUCAUAUUAUCUCCAUCUAGAAAAGGAAGCUUAUGCACACAGUUGAAUGGGUCAGUUGUGAAAUUUUCCAUGGGAUUGUUAUAAUAAGUUGAAGUAAAAUAAAAUGAACCAAGUGCAUCAAAUAUUUGUUAAAUAUGUUCCUUAAAGAAACCAUCAUUUUAAUGGCCUAAACAGUCAUCAUGAACUUUAUAAAUUCCAGAAGAGCAGAAUUUGGGAAAUAACCUAGUUUAUUUACACUAACAAAACAGAGGCAGCGAGAAUAUAUGUCCUGUAAAAACAAACAAAACAAAACAAAACAUAAAAUAAGAC